rnacentral:rRNA from 1 species
ACCCGACUCCAUGAAGCUGGAUUCGCUAGUAAUCGCGCACCAGCCACGGCGCGGUGAAUACGUUCCCGGGCCUUGUACACACCGCCCGUCAAGCCAUGGAAGCCGGGAGUGCCUGAAGUGUGCAACCGCAAGGAGCGCCCUAAGGUAAAACCGGUGACUGGGGCUAAGUCGUAACAAGGUAGC